UACAGAGGUCUCAAGCGUUGUUCGGAUUCAUUGGGCGUAAAGGGUGCGUAGGCGGCGCGGUAAGUCGGGUGUGAAAUCUCGGAGCUUAACUCCGAAACUGCAUUCGAUACUGCCGUGCUUGAGGACUGGAGAGGAGACUGGAAUUUACGGUGUAGCGGUGAAAUGCGUAGAUAUCGUAAGGAAGACCAGUGGCGAAGGCGGGUCUCUGGACCGAAAUUGACGCUGAGGAGCGAAAGCGUGGGGAGCGAACAGG
rnacentral:rRNA from 1 species